CGGGGCGUAGCUCAGCUUGGCUAGAGCGCCUGGUUUGGGUCCAGGAGGCCGCCGGUUCAAAUCCGACCGCCCCGACCA
rnacentral:tRNA from 1 species